rnacentral:tRNA from 1 species
UGGGCUAAAGCUUUAAGCUUUUCAUUUACGCUGAGAGGAGCCAUACACACUGGUAGCCUAA